AUCUUACUGGGCAGCAU
rnacentral:miRNA from 1 species